rnacentral:rRNA from 1 species
UACGUGGGUGGCAAGCGUUGUCCGGAAUUAUUGGGCGUAAAGCGCGCGCAGGCGGCCUCUUAAGUCUGAUGUGAAAGCCCCCGGCUCAACCGGGGAGGGCCAUUGAAACUGGGAGGCUUGAGUAUAGGAGAGAAGAGUGGAAUUCCACGUGUAGCGGUGAAAUGCGUAGAGAUGUGGAGGAACACCAGUGGCGAAGGCGACUCUUUGGCCUAUAACUGACGCUGAGGCGCGAAAGCGUGGGGAGCAAACAGG